rnacentral:rRNA from 1 species
UACGUAGGGCGCAAGCGUUGUCCGGAAUUAUUGGGCGUAAAGGGCUCGUAGGCGGUCUGUCGCGUCGGGAGUGAAAACUUACAGCUUAACUGUGAGCGUGCUUCCGAUACGGGCAGACUUGAGGUAUUCAGGGGAGAACGGAAUUCCUGGUGUAGCGGUGAAAUGCGCAGAUAUCAGGAGGAACACCGGUGGCGAAGGCGGUUCUCUGGGAAUAUCCUGACGCUGAGGAGCGAAAGUGUGGGGAGCGAACAGG